rnacentral:rRNA from 1 species
UACAUGCAACAAAGCCCUUCUCUUACGGGAAGGGCGCACUUAUUAGAUCAAAACCAAUCGGGGCUUGCUCCGCAGGUUUGAUGACUCUGGAUAAUUUUUCUGAUCGCACGAUCUUUGCGUCGGCGACGUAUCUUUCAAAUGUCUGCCCUAUCAACUUAAGAUGGUAGGUGAUUUGCCUACCAUGGUUAUAACGGGUAACGGGGAAUCAGGGUUCGAUUCCGGAGAGGGAGCCUGAGAAACAGCUACCACAUCCAAGGAAGGCAGCAGGCGCGCAAAUUACCCACUCUCAGAACGAGGAGGUAGUGACGAAAAAUAACGAUGCGGGACUCAAUCGAGGCCCCGUAAUUGGAAUGAGUACACUUUAAAUCCUUUAACAAGGAUCAAUUGGAGGGCAAGUCUGGUGCCAGCAGCCGCGGUAAUUCCAGCUCCAAUAGCGUAUAUUAAAGUUGUUGCAGUUAAAAAGCUCGUAGUUGGAUCUGAGGAUUCGGACGGAUGGUUCACUUUAGGGUGUUACUGUCUGUUCAGCCUACAUAGUCGUGGAUAUCUUAGGUGCUCUUCAUUGAGUGCUUUUGGUGCCCGACGCGUUUACUUUGAAAAAAUUAGAGUGCUUAAAGCAGGCCUUGUGCUUGUAUAGUGUUGCAUGGAAUAAUGAAAUAGGACUUCGAUUCUAUUUUGUUGGUUUUCGGAAUCGAAGUAAUGAUUAACAGGGACAGACGGGGGCAUUUGUAUGGCGGCGUUAGAGGUGAAAUUCUUGGAUCGCCGCCAGACAAUCUACUGCGAAAGCAUUUGCCAAGAAUGUUUUCACUAAUCAAGAACGAAAGUCAGAGGUUCGAAGACGAUCAGAUACCGUCCUAGUUCUGACCAUAAAUGAUGCCAACUGACGAUCCAUAGUGGUUGCUUGUACGACCCUAUGGGCAGCCCUCGGGAAACCAAAGUUUUUGGGUUCCGGGGGAAGUAUGGUUGCAAAGCUCAAACUUGAAGGAAUUGACGGAAGGGCACCACCAGGAGUGGAGCCUGCGGCUUAAUUUGACUCAACACGGGAAAACUCACCCGGCCCGGACACUGUAAGGAUUGACAGAUUAACAGCUCUUUCUUGAUUUGGUGGUUGGUGGUGCAUGGCCGUUCUUAGUUGGUGGAGCGAUUUGUCUGGUUAAUUCCGAUAACGAACGAGACUCUGACCUGCUAACUAGUACGCUGGUAAAAGCAGGUGCCGACUUCUUAGAGGGACUAACGUCGUUUAGACGUAUGAGAAAGAGCAAUAACAGGUCUGUGAUGCCCUUAGAUGUUCGGGGCCGCACGCGCGCUACACUGACGGCAGCAGCUAGUAUGAUCCUGAACUGAGAAGUUUGGGCAACCUGCAUGAAACGCCGUCGUGACAGGGAUCGGGGCUUGUAAUUGUUCCCCGUGAACGAGGAAUUCCCAGUAAGCGCAAGUCAUAAGCUUGUGCUGAUUACGUCCCUGCCCUUUGUACACACCGCCCGUCGCUACUACCGAUUGAAUGGUUUAGU